rnacentral:misc_RNA from 1 species
GUAUAUAAAGAGAAUUUAAGCCGCCUAAAAUGCCAUGAGAUAUUUGCAGACCAAUAUCUUGAUUUUGAGUAUUCUUAUUCUUUUUUUGUCUUUCCAAAUUAUAUGUGCUAUCUGAUUUUCUUACUGCUAUUGGUACAAUCAUCUUGUUUGUAACUGUUCAUUGCCAAGGAAUGGUAUUAACAAAUGAUGCUUGUGAUUUUGU